rnacentral:rRNA from 1 species
GAUGAACGCUGGCGGCGUGCCUAAUACAUGCAAGUCGAGCGAACAGACGAGGAGCUUGCUCCUCUAACGUUAGCGGCGGGCGGGUGAGUAACACGUGGAUAACCUACCUAUAAGACUGGGAUAACUUCGGGAAACCGGAGCUAAUACCGGAUAAUAUAUUGAACCGCAUGGUUCAAUAGUGAAAGACGGUUUUGCUGUCACUUAUAGAUGGAUCCGCGCCGCAUUAGCUAGUUGGUAAGGUAACGGCUUACCAAGGCAACGAUGCGUAGCCGACCUGAGAGGGUGAUCGGCCACACUGGAACUGAGACACGGUCCAGACUCCUACGGGAGGCAGCAGUAGGGAAUCUUCCGCAAUGGGCGAAAGCCUGACGGAGCAACGCCGCGUGAGUGAUGAAGGUCUUCGGAUCGUAAAACUCUGUUAUUAGGGAAGAACAAAUGUGUAAGUAACUAUGCACGUCUUGACGGUACCUAAUCAGAAAGCCACGGCUAACUACGUG